rnacentral:rRNA from 1 species
UACGUAGGGGGCAAGCGUUGUCCGGAAUUAUUGGGCGUAAAGCGCUCGUAGGCGGUUUGUCGCGUCUGCUGUGAAAUCCCGAGGCUCAACCUCGGGCUUGCAGUGGAUACUGGCAGACUAGAGUGCGGUAGGGGAGAGUGGAAUUCCUGGUGUAGCGGUGGAAUGCGCAGAUAUCAGGAGGAACACCGAUGGCGAAGGCAGCUCUCUGGGCCGUAACUGACGCUGAGGAGCGAAAGCAUGGGGAGCGAACAGG